AGGGAUCAUUACAAGUGACCCCGGUCCAACCACCGGGAUGUUCAUAACCCUUUGUUGUCCGACUCUGUUGCCUCCGGGGCGACCCUGCCUUCGGGCGGGGGCUCCGGGUGGACACUUCAAACUCUUGCGUAACUUUGCAGUCUGAGUAAACUUAAUUAAUAAAUUAAAACUUUUAACAACGGAUCUCUUGGUUCUGGCAUCGAUGAAGAACGCAGCGAAAUGCGAUAAGUAAUGUGAAUUGCAGAAUUCAGUGAAUCAUCGAAUCUUUGAACGCACAUUGCGCCCCCUGGUAUUCCGGGGGGCAUGCCUGUUCGAGCGUCAUUUCACCACUCAAGCCUCGCUUGGUAUUGGGCAACGCGGUCCGCCGCGUGCCUCAAAUCGACCGGCUGGGUCUUCUGUCCCCUAAGCGUUGUGGAAACUAUUCGCUAAAGGGUGUUCGGGAGGCUACGCCGUAAAACAACCCCAUUUCUAAGGUUGACCUCGGAUCAGGUAGGGAUACCCGCUGAACUUAAGCAUAUCAAUAAGCGGAGGAAAAGAAACCAACAGGGAUUGCUCUAGUAACGGCGAGUGAAGCAGCAAUAGCUCAAAUUUGAAAUCUGGCGUCUUCGGCGUCCGAGUUGUAAUUUGUAGAGGAUGCUUCUGAGUAACCACCGACCUAAGUUCCUUGGAACAGGACGUCAUAGAGGGUGAGAAUCCCGUAUGCGGUCGGAAAGGUGCUCUACACGUAGCUCCUUCGACGAGUCGAGUUGUUUGGGAAUGCAGCUCUAAAUGGGAGGUAAAUUUCUUCUAAAGCUAAAUAUUGGCCAGAGACCGAUAGCGCACAAGUAGAGUGAUCGAAAGAUGAAAAGCACUUUGGAAAGAGAGUUAAAAAGCACGUGAAAUUGUUAAAAGGGAAGGGAUUGCAACCAGACUUGCUCGCGGUGUUCCGCCGGUCUUCUGACCGGUCUACUCGCCGCGUUGCAGGCCAGCAUCGUCUGGUGCCGCUGGAUAAGACUUGAGGAAUGUAGCUCCCUCGGGAGUGUUAUAGCCUCUUGUGAUGCAGCGAGCGCCGGGCGAGGUCCGCGCUUCGGCUAGGAUGCUGGCGUAAUGGUCGUAAUCCGCC
rnacentral:rRNA from 1 species